GGAGGCUAUCUGGUUGAUCCUGCCAGUAGUCAUAUGCUUGUCUCAAAGCUUAAGCCAUGCAAGUCUCAGUACGAACUGUUUUAAAGUGAAACCGCGAAAAGCUCAUUAAAUCAGUUAUGGUUCACUCGGUUCACAGUCCCAAACCGGGCGUUUGGAUAACUGUGGUAAUUCUAGAGCUAAUACAUGCAACGAAGUCCCGUCCAGUGAUGGUAAGGACGCUUUUAUUAGAUCAAAACCAAUCGGUCCCUCACGGGGCCGGUUAACCUUGAUGACUCUGAAUUGACUGAGUUAGAUCGCACGGUCUCAGCGCCGGCGACGAACCAUUCAAAUGCCUGCCUUAUCAACUCGGUCGGUAGACUCAGUGUCUACCCUGGUUGUUACGGGUGACGGGGAAUCAGGGUUCGAUUCCGGAGAGGAAGCCUGAGAAACUGCUACCACAUCUAAGGAAGGCAGCAGGCACGCAAAUUACCCACUCCCGGCACGGGGAGGUAGUGACAAAAAAUAACGAUACGGGACUCAUCCGAGGCCCCGUAAUCGGAAUGGGAACACUUUAAAUCCUUUAACGAGGAUCCAUUGGAGGGCAAGUCUGGUGCCAGCAGCUGCGGUAAUUCCAGCUCCAAUAGCGUAUAUUAAAGUUGUUGCGGUUAAAAAGCUCGUAGUUGGUUCUGCGUGUUACUCUGUCGGUUCACCGCUUGCCGGUGCAACUGUCAUGUUGUGGCACGUACUGCCGGUGGAUUGACGGGUCCGGGGCGGGCGCCACGGGUACUCCCCGUGCGCGGUCCUCCGGCGCCCGGCCUUCCGCAAAUUGUGCUACGGUGCUCUUCACUGAGUGUCGUGGCAAACCGGCCAUAAUACUUUGAACAAAUGAAAGUGCUCAAAGCAGGCCGAUCAAUGCCUUGAAUACAGCGCGCAUGGAAUAAUGGAAUAUGACUUUGGUUCUAUUUUGUUGGUUUUCUGAAUCCAAGGUAAUGAUCAAUGUGGACAGGCGGGGGCAUUCGUAUUGCGACGUUAGAGGUGAAAUUCUUGGAUCGUCGCAAGACGCACUAGAGCGAAAGCAUUUGCCAAGUAUGUCUUAAUUGAUCAAGAACGAAAGUUAGAGGUUCGAAGGCGAUCAGAUACCGCCCUAGUUCUAACCAUAAACGAUGCCAGCCAGCAAUCCGCUGGUGUUCCUCCGAUGACACAGCGGGCAACUUCUCCCCGGGAAACCAAAGCCUUUGGGUUCCGGGGGAAGUAUGGUUGCAAAGCUGAAACUUAAAGGAAUUGACGGAAGGGCACCACCAGGAGUGGAGCCUGCGGCUUAAUU
rnacentral:rRNA from 1 species